GACGAACGCUGGCGGCGUGCUUUACACAUGCAAGUCGAGCGGUAAGGCCCCUUCGGGGGUACACGAGCGGCGAACGGGUGAGUAACACGUGAGCAAUCUGCCCAUCACAUCGGGAUAACUCCGGGAAACCGAAGCUAAUACCGAAUACGACCACUCCGGGCAUCCGGUGGUGGUGGAAAGUUCCGGCGGUGAUGGAUGAGCUCGCGGCCUAUCAGCUUGUUGGUGGGGUAAUGGCCCACCAAGGCGACGACGGGUAGCCGGCCUGAGAGGGUGACCGGCCACACUGGGACUGAGACACGGCCCAGACUCCUACGGGAGGCAGCAGUGGGGAAUAUUGGACAAUGGGCGAAAGCCUGAUCCAGCAACGCCGCGUGAGGGAUGACGG
rnacentral:rRNA from 1 species